rnacentral:rRNA from 1 species
UAAUACGGAGGGUGCAAGCGUUACUCGGAAUCACUGGGCGUAAAGAGAAUGUAGGCGGGUUAAUAAGUUGGAAGUGAAAUCCUAUGGCUCAACCAUAGAACUGCUUUCAAAACUGUUGACCUAGAAUAUGGGAGAGGUAGAUGGAAUUUCUGGUGUAGGGGUAAAAUCCGUAGAGAUCAGAAGGAAUACCGAUUGCGAAGGCGAUCUACUGGAACAUUAUCGACGCUGAGAUUCGAAAGCGUGGGGAGCAAACAGGAUUAGAUACCCUGGUAGUCCACGCCCUAAACGAUGCACACUAGUUGUUGCUAUGCUCGACAUAGCAGUAAUGCAGUUAACACAUUAAGUGUGCCGCCUGGGGAGUACGGUCGCAAGAUUA